AGUUGCCAAUUAUAUCUAGCAGACGACACUUGCUGCUUCUACCAGAUGACGCCAGUGGCGGAAGAAGGGACCCGAUGCCCGGAGUAACUUUGCAGUAUAAAAUUUUGCACUGUUCGAUUGGUCAAGAUGGAGAUGUUUUAGUGGAAUUCAGCCCUUGAUGGACAUAUCGUCUGUAUUUGCCCUGUCCUGUGUGGACAGAGAGCUCUUCCACACCUCGUGCACACAUCAGAAUCCGCGAGGUAGGCGACGAAUUUAUUCAGGUUUAAAAUGACAGGAAGACAGUGUUUUACAUUGUUGAAAGACAAAGAAAAAGAGUCGAUUCCAGAACGUGCCUACCUGUGUUUGUUGAUUUCGGCAGUUGAGGGGAGAGUCCGGUGCAUGCCAGAUACUAUCUAUUGAUUUCAAACAAUCUAGUGAGAAAUAUAUGCAGAAGAAAGAACCAAGUAUGAUAAAUCCACGACAGACCUGGCACAAGCAUAUAGCAUGACACCACUACAGCCGCCAUGACAAAAGCAUAGUUAAACAAAUUAGUUAGACAUAAGUUAACAUGUAUAUAAUUAUACCCCAACGUACAAAGUAUAUUGGGCUAUGUUGGAGUCACGCAUGUCCAGUCCAUCCGUCCGUCCGUUCAUUUGUCCACCAUGGCCGCUGGGAUGAUUUUCAUAAAACUGAAAUAAAUUAUAAACCACAUAAAGACGAUGUACAGAGCGCUCAACCUAGGUCACAAGGCCCAAGGUCAAGGUUACUCGUGGAGGUCAAAGGUCAAAUAGCUUAGCUUCAUGUCCGCUCUAUAUUGUUUAAACGGCUUUGAAAAUAUUUAGCUCGACUAUUUGAAGAAUAAGGAAGAUUACUGAACUUUCCUUGGCGUCUGUGUCACUGUUACCGUUGCAUUGAAAGUUAAAAUUUUAAGACAAGCUUCUCAGUGUCACUAUAUCUUCUUACUACUGCCCUUAUUAUCAUCAAACUUCACAUAAGUGUUGGUCUUGGUAAGAGAAAGACAUCUACAUGUAUUAGUUUAGGAACAAGUAUCCUAAAUGUCGAAGUCACUGGCUUAAAUAUUGUGAUAGUGCUGGUUAAAGUUUCAUGGUAAGCUUCUCAGUUUCACAAUAUAACCUCACAUAAGGAUUGAUCUUAGAACGUGGCAGAAAUCUUUUUGUUUAGGGUCAGGUUGCUCAAAGGUCAAGGUUACUGGGGUCAGAUUUUGUAACAGUGUUGGCUAAACUCUUGCGGCACAUUUCUCAAUUUGACUUGUAUCUCAUAACGUUUCUUAGAACUGGUAUUCAUCAUGUCCUAUCCUUUUUAGCUAAACCUACAUUUCAUCUACGUCCCUACCGACAGCCACCCAAAAAUGCAUUCCAUACAAAAACUUAUAUAUCAUGUUUCCAUCAACUCCCCUACUCCGCUGUCAUCACCUACCUCCUCCACCCCAUUUCACCGAACCUUUACCCUCGUCCCUAACCCCCGCCCCCUAUAUAAAAAGGAUAAAAAAAACUCCUUUUCGAUCUUCCACACUUUCUUAUGAUAAUAGCAAUAUCUUGUUUAACAUUUUCCUUGUAGUCGAGCAAACACAAUUAACUCAGGUCACUAGGUCCACGGUCAAGGUCACACCUAAAAAUCAAAAGUCGAUGACAACAUUUUACUUUCCCUUUAUCAAAGUGUGGUCUGGGGGUAUUAAUCGACUUCAGUAAUAGCCUUAUUUGAUCAGGUGUUAGUGGCAUAAAUGUGUAACAGUUGCUUUAUUAUGGGGGGAGGGAUAGGAAUGGCGUCCGUCUGCCCGUCCGUAACACUUUCGUGUCCAGGCCAUAUCUCCUAAACCCCUUGAAGGAUUUUCAUGAAACUUGGGUCAAAUGAUCACAUCAAGACGAUGUGCAGAACAUAAGUUUGCCAUGUCGGCUGAAGGUCAAGGUCACAACUCAAGGUUGAAGGUUUUAGCCUUCCAUUUCGUGUCUGCGCUGUUUCUCUUAAACCGCUUGAAGGAAUUUUAUAAAACUCGGGUAAAACGAUCACCUCAUCAAGAGGAUAUGCAGAACUUAUGAGUCAGCCAUGCCAGCUCAAGGUCAAGGUCACAACUUAGGGUUGAAGGUUUGUGCCUUCCAUUUUGUGUCCGCUUUGUAUAUCCUAAACCCCUUGAAAGAUUUUCAUGAAACUUGGGUCAAAUUAUCACUUCAUCAAGACGAUGUGUAGAACUCAUGAGUCAGCCAUAUUGGCCCAAGGUCAAGGCCACAACUUGGGAUCAAAAGUUUGAGCCUUCCAUUUUGUGUUCGCUCUGUAUCUCCUAAACCCCUUGAAGGAUUUUCGUGAAACCUGGGUCAAAUGAUCACCUCAUCAAGAUGAUGUGUAGAACCUAUGAGUUAGCCAUGCCAGCUCAAGGUCAAGUUCAUAAAGGUUUGAGUCUUCCAUUUUGUGUCAACUCUAUAUCUCCUUAACCCCUUGAAGGAUUUUCAUUAAACUUGGGCCAAGUGAUUACCACAUCAAGAACUCAUGAUUCAGCUAUGUCAACUCAAGGUCAAGGCCACAACUCGAGGUCAAAGGUUUGAGCUCUGUAUCUCCUAAACCCCUUGAAGGAUUUUCAUGAAACUUUGGUCAAAGAUGAUGUGCAGAAUUCAUAAAUCAGUCAUGUCAGUUCAAUGUUAAGGUCACAGCUCAAGGUCAAAGGUUCAAGUUACCCUUACACUAUCCACAACAGUGGCGGGGGUUUUAGCUGUCUUCAGACUGCAAUGUAAUAACUGAUUUUAGGACUGGAGAUAUUUGUUUGUUUCAGUGUAAGAUCGAUCAAAUCAUUCUAAAUCUCGCGAAAAUGUAAGCUCUAGUGUUCAAGCGUGAAAAAUAAUCAGUUUUACUAUAAAUCAAAGAAAUUUUAUAUUAUGCAAUUAAAUAUAUGUGUACUAUUAAAGAAGUUUUAUAUUAUGCAGUUAAAUGUAUGUGUACUAUAAAUCAAAGAAAUUUUAUAUUAUGCAAUUAAAUAUAUGUGUACUAUAAACCAAAGAAAUUUUAUAUUAUGAAAUUGAAUAUACGUGUACUAUAAAUCAAAGAAAUUUUAUAUUAUGCAGUUAAAUAUAAUUGACUCAACUGUACACAUUUUAAAAGUAUAACAUCUCGCGCAACGUUACGCUUAAAAUUAUGGCAAUAUAUAUGUUGGAAAAAGUUAUAUAGUUCUACUAGAUUGAUUUCUUUUACAUUUUAAUAAAAUUAUUUUUUAAUGUUUUUUUUUUCUAUAAAAACAACCAGAUUAUAUAUAAUUCAUAUUCUUUCGCGUUAAAUUGAUGUUGCGUGCAAGUGAAAACUGUAUUUGGAUUUCAUACUUCCGAAACAGUGGGUUUAUCAGGGUAUAAUCUAUCGUUUUAUUUCAACAAUAUCUGGAAACUUGGCAAGAAAUUCAAUAAAACUAUAAAAUGUAGCGAUAAAAUCAUAGCUCUUUUAUUCAUUCAAACACACUUUCUACUGCACUUUGUCUGGUUGAUAUUAAUGUAGCUUUUAAAAGUCAUUUUAGUCUCAUUUCUUGUUCACUGGAUUUUACACUGUUUGGUAUAACUCUUAAUCGACACCUAACUUUAUGCACUAACAUUAACUCUUGCGGCUAAAAUGACUUUUAAAGCAACUCUGUCUAUUAUCAGGAACAAUUUGUUAAACUGGUAAAUCUUUAGGAACGAUGGGUAAAGAAAGAUUAGCUGAUCAAAUAUUUAGUAGAAUUGUUGGCAAACUUUUAGGUUUUUAGUCCUCACUUUAAGUAAUUACUGGGAUAUAACGUUAGAUUAUAAUAAACUCAUUGUUUCAAAUGGAGAGAAAUCCAAAUAU